rnacentral:lncRNA from 1 species
AGUCUUGCGAGGACUUCUUGGGCACUAGUUGUACCAAUAACUAACCCCAAGGAAUUGGACUCAGAAGAGCAAUACAAAUUGCAGCCUUGCCACUUACGAGCUGAGAGAUCUUAGCCAAAAUAACUCAAUCUGUCUGAGUUGUAUUUUUUAUCAGUCGACUGAAGAUGAAUAAUAUUCAGGCUACAAGUUUAUCAAAGAGUUAAUAGAGAUGGAGUCCAUGUUGCCUCGCCUGGUCUUGGACUAUUGGCCUCAAGCGAUCAUCCUACCUCAGCCUCUCAAAGUGCUAGCAUUCAAGGUCAGGAGAUCGAGACCAUCCCGGCUAAAACGGUGAAACCCCGUCUCUACUAAAAAUACAAAAAAUUAGCCGGGCGUAGUGGCGGGCGCCUGUAGUCCCAGCUACUUGGGAGGCUGAGGCAGGAGAAUGGCGUGAACCCGGGAGGCGGAGCUUGCAGUGAGCCGAGAUCCCGCCACUGCACUCUAGCCUGGGCGACAGAGCGAGACUCUGUCUCAAAAAAAAAAAAAAAAAGUUGGCCUAAACAGGGACACACAGUGUGGUCCAGAGACCUGGUGACAGUGUGUGAAUUGUUACCAGUUCACAGAGCAGUAAGUAUUACAAAACUUGGGAGUAGGUCAUUAGAAAUUUUAUAGGGAUUUCAGCAAUGU